rnacentral:lncRNA from 1 species
CAGAGAACUCGCUCCCUUUUACCUACCUGACUUGUACACACUUUUGGCAUCUCUUGGGUGACUGCUCUGACCAUCUUCUUAGUGACCCUAGGUGCCACUACAGUGUUUUCGUAAUGCACUGAAUUUACCACAUUGCAUUACAGUUCCUUGCAGUGGGUUGAUUCCCAAACAAAUGCCCCAUUGUGCCUGAGUUUUUUCUAUGAAUUGCUACCAAAAGUAAUCUGA